UUUGACUUGUGAUUUCAGAGCUUCUCAUCCAUGGUCAGCUGGUUCCAUUGUUUCUGGGCCUGUGCUGAGCUAUAGCAUCAUGACAAGGAGAUAUGGUGGAAGAAACUGUUCACCUUAUGGCUGGCAGCAGUCAGAGAAUGAGACAGCUGGAGAGGAAGGGGCUGGGGACCAAAGACUUAAGCCUCAAGGUUAUACCCCAAGAUUGGCCCCACCUCCUGUUUCCAUCACCUCCUAAUUAUGCCAUCAAGGAGGGACUGGAGGUGGAGGCUGAAGAGAGCCACACAAAGCCAUUUUCCCAGCAUUUGUGCCUGUGAGGCUUACUGCUCAAGAGACCAUCACUGUGAUGUUUGAGCUUUUGCUGGGGAAGAUAUUCAAAGGAAAACUAGAAUCUACUUCUUGAUAGAGAAGAGAUAAGGCCACACUGGAGAAGAACAUGAGGGAUAUGAGAUAAGGAUGUGGGGUUGUGGACAGCUUCGGAAAGCACAAUCUACCCUAGGGUCACACCCCACACACAUGUAAGGUACUAGUUGGGGAUCACCAGAGUGUGACAAAGGGCUAAAACAACAAAAUAAACCCUUGGGUAAAAUAAAUGAUUACUUUUUGUAGCAUGGUACAUUGCUUCUCUACCCUUAAGCUGUUCUCAGUAGACUCAUUUAUGGACCCUGAUAAAACCAUAGAAGCAGUAUAUUUAUACAAGAUGAGGGAAUUGUUACUGAAGAAAAAGCUAAAUAAACACUUUGGCUUCAUUUGCUCUUAGUAGACUUAAAGAUUACUAAUUUUGGAGGUCACAUUAAUGGGUAGUAUGUUUUUAGUUUCCUACUAGCUUUGCUGUAGAUGAUACCUUUGAUAUAUGGGUUAUAAUUAUUGUCUAGGUUACUUUUUAGGGGCCUGAAUGUUACUUCUGCUGAAUACACUUACACUCCACUUGAGUCUGCAGAAAUCCGAUGGGUGACUAAAGUCGGAUAACAGCUUGGCAUUUCUGUCUUUGUGUCUGCUCCCUUUGCUAGCUUAACUUUUAGGUGAGAUUCUUAUCAUUUAUGCAUGUUGAUCAGUUAAAAAUGUUUUGUGCAUACCCAGAUGUAGUGGCACACACCUGUAAUUUUAGCACUCUGGGAGGUUAAGGCAGGAGGAUUAUAAGUUUAAACCUAGCCUUUGCAACUUAGUGAGACACUGUCUGAAAAGAUAAACAGGGCUUGGGA